CAACGCAGACGGUCCUCUAGACUCCCGUUUGGCAGGAACUCGUAAACCAAAGCUUUGGCAUCCCUGCACACUCCUAUCAGGGUCACAAGCUCAUUACAGAUCUGGAGGUGCUCCUUUUCAAGACGAGCCUUUUCUCUGGACUGUAUUUUGAGGCACAAAUGUACCAAAAUUAUUCAUGAUGAGAGGGAUAUGGGGAUAACAGACAAUACCAUCUUAGAAGCUUCAAAAAGAUCUCUCUCGGCUUUCUGUCGGCCCUCCAAUGCUUCCUUUCUUGAUCGCUCUAGCUCAUUGCGAUCUUGCUGCCAUUUCUCAAACAUUUCAUUCUGUCUGUUAGCUUCAACCUGUAAAUCAUCAAGGUUUGAUAUGAAUUCAGUACUUGUCCCUUCCUUACGUGAAGAAAAGGUGCACCCACGAAGGUAUCUCUAGAGAUUUCUGUCCAGUCCAGUAUAACUUACCAUGGAAUGCUGAUGCUCUUCAGAACUUGAGAUUGAAACAGGUCCUGAUGAUCCAUCAUCCAUAAUGUCCAAAUCCUUCAGAGUUGGCGAGGACACUCCAUCGCUUUGAUGUCUGGGAUUCAGAGAGGAACCUUUUGGUGCUACAUCAACUGGGUGCCGCCCUGCAGGGAUUUCUGGAAACCGGGAUACGAUGAUGGCAACGACACUGAUCUUGAAGGGAAUUCGGGCUGAUCUGACAGAGAACUCCCGGAGCUGCUUCUGGGGGAGUCUCCUUUUUCGGCAAACUGAUUGGCUUCCCUAAAAGUAGUAAACAAUCACAACAACAUCGCUUUAUCAGGAACCUUACACAACCCUGCAUGUAUGGCAACAUCGCAGGAAAUCAUGAGGAGCAGAUUUAGUUUUUGUUUUCUCUUUUGGCAGCGCAACAUGUAACACCAAACAAAUUAUUUCCUUUUUUCUGCGGGAAGUAAACAGGUAUAUCUGAUGCCUAAGAAAACAGGGGAGAGCUUUGUAUAAUUAUUUGGCAGCAAGUUCGAUUAAUGCAUAAAAAUCUAAUUGACAGAACACUACUUUGAUUAUUUUUAGGUUGAUAUGUAUCAUUGUUACCGGGCAGUCUUUUGAGAAGCAAAGGGUAUGAAAAAAAAUCUAACAAGAUCAAAUGUGUGUUAUUCUGUUUUCACUCUUGAACAGAUGAAGGUGUGCUUUUGAGAAGUUGCAGAGAAAAGCAGAAGAGUGGAAAAACAACCAUGUUGCUUGCUACGUACUUGCCUACGUGGCUGGUGGACAUGCAGCAGCACAAGCUUCUUGACAUCACUCUGCUGGGGCUGGAGCUGGAGCUGGAGUUUACUAGCUGCCC